rfam:Callithrix jacchus chromosome 1, whole genome shotgun sequence
CAGAACUUCAUAAUCAGUAGAUUUGGACCUUCUGACUACCUUCCUUGUGCUAUUCCAUCAGCCUACAGACCCUACAGUCCUGGUACCUGGAUUUUUGCUGAAGAUGAUUCCUACCACAGUGGUUCAAUGGAAGACACCCAUUCCAUUGAACCACUGUGACUCAGGAGGCAUUCAGCCAUCAUGAUGUGGCCUUUACCUCCACUCUGUUCUGUUCUACCCAGAUUCAGCACAGCCCUUUA